rnacentral:rRNA from 1 species
CCUACGGGAGGUAGCAGUGAGGAAUAUUGGUCAAUGGCCGGAAGGCUGAACCAGCCAUGCCGCGUGAAGGUCAGUGCCCUAUGGGCGUUAAACUUCUUUUGUGCGGGAGCAAUAAUGGUCACGUGUGGCCAGACGAGAGUACCGUACGAAUAAGCAUCGGCGAACUCCGUGCCAGCAGCCGCGGUAAUACGGGUGAUGCAAGCGUUAUCCGGGUUUAUUGGGUUUAAAGGGUGCGUAAGCUGGGAGGUAAAUCAGCGGGGAAAUGCCCCCGCUCAACGGGGUGAAGUGCCAUUGAUACUGCCUGGCUGGAAUGCGGAUGCCGUGGGAGGAAUGUGUGGUGUAGCGGUGAAAUGCAUAGAUAUCACACAGAACACCGAUUGCGAAGGCAUCUCACGAAUCCGCGAUUGACGCUGAUGCACGAAAGCGUGGGUAUCAAACAGGAUUAGAUACCCGUGUAGUC